rnacentral:rRNA from 1 species
GAUGAACGCUAGCGGCAGGCCUAACACAUGCAAGUCGAACGGUAACAUGAGAGCUUGCUCUUGAUGACGAGUGGCGCACGGGUGCAUAACGCGUAUACAAUCUACCUUUUACAUGAGAAUAGCCUUUAGAAAUGAAGAUUAAUACUCUAUGGUAUUAUUGAUUGGCAUCAAUUAAUAAUUAAAGCUUCGGCGGUAAAAGAUGAGUAUGCGUUCUAUUAGCUAGAUGGUGUGGUAACGGCACACCAUGGCAACGAUAGAUAGGGGCCCUGAGAGGGGGAUCCCCCACACUGGUACUGAGACACGGACCAGACUCCUACGGGAGGCAGCAGUGAGGAAUAUUGGACAAUGGAGGCAACUCUGAUCCAGCCAUGCCGCGUGCAGGAAGACUGCCCUAUGGGUUGUAAACUGCUUUUAUACAGGAAGAAACCGCUCUACGUGUAGAGCUCUGACGGUACUGUAAGAAUAAGGAUCGGCUAACUCCGUGCCAGCAGCCGCGGUAAUACGGAGGAUCCAAGCGUUAUCCGGAAUCAUUGGGUUUAAAGGGUCC